UGCCAUAGGAUAGGAUCGUGCUCGAUUAUGGUUGUUGGUGAGGUAAAGGCUCACCAAGCCGAUAAUCGAUAGGGGCCGUGAGAGCGGGAGCCCCAAGAUGGGUACUGAGACAGCGACCCAGGCCUUACGAGGCGCAGCAGGUGCGAAACCUCCGCAAUACACGAAAGUGUGACGGGGUUACCCAAAGUGUUCUUAUUGAACUGUGGCAGGUGAGUAAUGUCCCCUGCUAGAAAGGAGAGGGCAAGGCUGGUGCCAGCCGCCGCGGUAAAACCAGCUCUUCAAGUGGUCGGGAUAAUUAUUGGGCUUAAAGUGUCCGUAGCCGGUUUAGUAAGUUCCUGGUAAAAUCAGGUAGCUUAACUAUCUGUAUGCUAGGAAUACUGCUAUACUAGAGGGCGGGAGAGGUCUGAGGUACUACAGGGGUAGGGGUGAAAUCUUAUAAUCCUUGUAGGACCACCAGUGGCGAAGGCGUCAGACUGGAACGCGCCUGACGGUGAGGGACGAAAGCCAGGGGAGCGAACCGGAUUAGAUACCCGGGUAGUCCUGGCCGUAAACGAUGCAUACUAGGUGAUGGUACGGCCAUGAGCCGUGUCAGUGCCGUAGGGAAACCGUUAAGUGUGCCGCCUGGGAAGUACGGUCGCAGGGCUAAAACUUAAAGGAAUUGGCGGGGGAGCACCACAAGGGGUGAAGCCUGCGGUUCAAUUGGAUUCAACGCCGGG
rnacentral:rRNA from 1 species